ACAGAAUUGGAUUUAGAACUAAUCCCUUCAGACCAUCCAAGGGCUAGCACCCUUUUCCUAAAGAAAUUUCAAAUGGAUGUGAGAGGAAAGUGUAAGAACAACUCUUCAGACCAUGUGUCUCCAGGUUUCCUUUGUGAAAAGCACAGCUCAUGCUCAACCAUCUUUUUAGAUGAGAGCACACUGUCGUGGCCUAGUGUUACCGUCACGGUGCAAUC